rnacentral:rRNA from 1 species
UGCAUAUCAAUAAGCGGAGGAAAAGAAACCAACAGGGAUUGCCUCAGUAACGGCGAGUGAAGCGGCAAAAGCUCAAAUUUGAAACCCUCGGGAUUGUAAUUUGAAGAUUUGGCAUUGGAGAAAGCUAACCCAAGUUGCUUGGAAUAGUACGUCAUAGAGGGUGACAACCCCGUCUGGCUAACCGUUCUCCAUGUAUUGCCUUAUCAAAGAGUCGAGUUGUUUGGGAAUGCAGCUCAAAGUGGGUGGUAAACUCCAUCUAAAGCUAAAUACUGGUGAGAGACCGAUAGCGAACAAGUACUGUGAAGGAAAGGUGAAAAGAACUUUGAAAAGAGAGUGAAAUAGUAUGUGAAAUUGUUGAUAGGGAAGGAAAUGAGUGGAGAGUGGCCGAGGUUUCAGCCGCCCCUCGUGGGCGGUGUACUGCCGACGCCGAGUCAUCGAUAGCGAGACGAGGGUUACAAAUGGGAGCGCCUUUCGGGCGUUCUCCCCUAACCCUCCACACUGCCACCGACGACAUAAUCCACCCAUUUCACCCGUCUUGAAACACGGACCA